rnacentral:rRNA from 1 species
UCAGAGACGAAAAGAUGACGGUACCUGAAGAACUAAGCAUCGGCUAAACCCCGUGCCAGCAGCCGCGGUAAGACGGGGGAUGCGAGCGUUAUCCGGAAUGAUUGGGCGUAAAGGGUCCGCAGGUGGCCCGGUCAGUCCGCUGUCAAAGCCUGGGGCUCAACCCUGGAGAGGCGGCGGAGACCACCGGGCUUGAGUCCGGUAGGGGCAGAGGGAAUUCCCGGUGGAGCGGUGAAAUGCGUAGAGAUCGG